rnacentral:rRNA from 1 species
AACAUCGCCUUUAGCCACAACAAGUAUUAAAGGUCCAGCCUGCCCAGUGAAACUUAUUUCAACGGCCGCGGUAUCCUAACCGUGCAAAGGUAGCGUAAUCACUUGUCCUUUAAAUAAGGACCCGUAUGAAUGGCUAAUUGAGGGUGACACUGUCUCAUACGAUUAAUCAAUGAACCUGAUCUCCCAGUACAAAAGCUGGGAUAAAACCACAAGACGAGAAGACCCUGUGGAGCUUAAAGCCAAAAUACUGACUCACCCUAAAACAGUAUUCACCUUAAGUUGGGGCAACUACGGAGAAAAACAGAACCUCCGCGAUAAAGGAGCUUAACACCACCAAGGGGGACACCCCAAAAAGUGAUGCCCCUUAUGACCCAGUAAAACUGAGUACCGAACCAAGUUACCCCAGGGAUAACAGCGCCAUCCCCCUCAAGAGUCCACAUCAACAGGGGGGCUUACGACCUCGAUGUUGGAUCAGGACACCCAGGUGGUGCAGCCGCUACCAAUGGUCC